ensembl:lncRNA
GUAUGACCAGCGAAAAGAAGAAGAAAAGAGUAUAACAAUAAAAGAGGUGGAAAAACAGAAAAGCCAGUGCAUGUGCGUGUGUGUGUGUGUUGCUUUCCAAACAAUGGAGAAAAGAGAAGGCACACUGGAUAAGAGCUUCUUUGUAUAAAUGAAGUGGACAAUGUCCAGUCACAGAAAGCCAAAGAGGGAGAGCAAAAAUGGGACACAGAACAUCAGGGAUGAAGUGGGAGAGAGAAAGAUUUAUAGAAAUGGAGGGAAAGGAGGUAGACAGAAAGAAUGAUGUGGAGAGAAAAAGGAUUUUUUUUAACGACUGGGGAGGAAGGGGAGGCGACGGAGAGCAAGCUUAGAAUAGAUACGCUCUCAUCCACAUGAAAUAUUGAACGAGGGAGCAAGAAAACAAGAGAGAGGAAAGGAAAAUGGAGAGAAUGAUGGCGAUAAAUACAAUCGUUAUUUGUUUAGUGCGCGCUGAGGGAGAGUGCGAGAUGGAGGAAGGGAAUGAACGAGAAGAAGGGAAGGAGAGCACUUUGGAAAAGAUGGAUGAACGAGAGAGUCUUGCCGGCAGCGGUGGAAUGAAGGCCGUGCGGUCUGCACUCCUCACCAGCUGUGUCAGUGUGCCACGUCCUACUUCCACAAGUGAUCACAUCAUUUCCUGUAUAUUCAGCCUUCAGGCAAAGAGGCUGAGCAAUCUGAUUGGCUGCUUAACGUAAUAACUGUCAGAUAGGUUGAUUGAUUGGCCAAUAUAAGAUGGUGACUCUGCUCACAUUCACCGGACGCCAUCGACUUUUUUGCUCUCUCUUCAUCCCUCUGAAUGGCCGCUGAGUGCUUCCUUUCAGUGUUUAUCAGCUUGAGACGUUAGUUUUUUCAAUUAAAAAAAUGCAGUGGAUGUGUGACAAUGAACCUGAUGAUAAUUGCACACUGCAGUGCAGCUUGAGAUUUGUAUGGCAGUUUAUAGCAUCAUCUCCCAGCUGUUGUGUUGAGUAUGCUGGUCUCACCGGGCCGGUGGGGCGGUGCUGAGAUCUACAUAAUCUACACAGCUGUAAAGCCAAAAACAUCAUCAUAUGCUUUUAAUUAGGGUGCAAAAUUAAGCUUUUCAGGAGUAAAAAUGAUGUGUGUGUGUUCUUACCUGAGAUUAUUCACUCAUUAUGCAAGCAAAAACACACUGACUCAUAAUUUGCAGUGACAUUUCUUAAGCAAGAAAUGGAUUAUGAUUCAUAGUUUUUCUACUUAAACAGGAUGUUGCGAUUUCCUGCUUGCUGUAAUGGCAAUUAGAAUGCAUUUUAAUCAUCUUUAGACAGGAACUGCUCUCUCGCUUGAGUUUAUGACAUUUUCUGACUCUCUUUUGUAGUAGAACAUUAAAGAACAGUCAGGUUAAAAGUCUGGAAUGAUUGCAUAAAAAUUUAAUGUUUAUUCUAAAUGCAAAAUCAUAAUAAUACUGGUACCUUGUAAACACAGUUUAUCAACUUACCGAUAAACAUCUGUGCAUCCUGACUCCUGGAAAUUGUGCAGAAACCCAGGCAAUCAGAUUGGAACCAUUUAUUCCAGCCAUUUCUUGCUGUUUUUGUGUUCUAUGUGCUUCAGAUGGUCUAUGCACUGAUUGUGGCAUUCGAGGCUGAGAGAAGAAAUGGUCUUUAUUUGAAAAUUUGUGGUCAGUAAGAUCUUUAUUUACUUUUAUUCAGUAAGAAUGCAUUAAAAUGGAUCAUAACAAUAAUGACAUUUACAUUGUUACAAAAAAUCAUGAAAAAAGUAUCACGGUUUUCACAAAAAGCAAAACAACAACCUUGAUAAUCAGAAAUGUUUCUUGAGCAGCAAAUCAGCAUAUUAGAAUGAUUUCUGAAGGAUCAUGUGACACUGAAGACUGGAGUAAUGGCUGCUGACAAUUAUGCUUUGCAUCACUGGAAUAAAUGGCAGAGAAUAAAUAACAGAGAAAGAGAGAGGGGAAAAGCCUGGAUUUCAUGAAUACAAGCUCCAGUGAACUUCAGUGACACAACCUUAGAUCACACAACACACCUACCACCAACCUUCUCAUUAUCACAUUGAAACAUUUCAACAUAACUGCAUGCUCACUUAAUGAAAAGCAAUAGCAGCUCUGUGUGGGAAAAAAAAUACAACUCUUAGUUUAGUACAAAUUAAUUGAAGGUGUCAUUCAGUCAACAGCUUUGCCUCAAAGUGAAAUUAUUAAAGGUGGGUCAUGUUUCCAUGUUAAAAUAUUUUCUUUUAUUAGGUGUGGGUUUAUAGCAGAGAGAAAAGAGACAUACUGUAAGAAUUAUAUCUACUUUUUUUAAGAAUGAGAAAGAAUUUAAGAAUCUUUUGUUUCUGAUUAGAUACAAUGACUUUUAGUUGAGUAAUACAUUUGACAUGGCUGAUGUUUUGAACUCAGUACAAUGUCACUGUGAUUUUGUCAACACUAAAAGUGCCUACAGAUCAAACACUAAUAUUAUACAAACUAAAGCACCUCCAGUAUACUGUGGAACAUAAUACCCAUAUGGAAAAUAAAACCCCAAACACAAAGCAAACUAAACAGCUUCCGGCCCCUAAAACGAAAGUACAAAUUGGCAGCGUGUCUCAUUACUGUUAGGACUCUUGCCAGAGACAAAUCUGAGCAACUACAGAGUCAGCAAUCACAGCUUAAUAUUGAUAAAAGCAGGCACAAAAAAUGAUCAAUGGACUCUAAAGGACAGGCAGAACUAAAACAGACUAAACAAUGCUUCAAAUGCACAUAAAAUAAACAUGUAAAAAUAAAUAUUUUCCCUUAAUCAAUUUAAAAUAGAUGUAAUGACUUUAAAUCAAGGAUAUGGUCACAUAUACAACAUGCACUUGUGAUGUAUUAUAUUCAUACUCAUCACGUAACAUUUUCCAUCAUUCACUCUUAUUAUUCAUCAUACACCCAUAAAAACAAAUUAUGUUAAUGCUUUGGGAGUAUUGCAAAUCCCUUAAAAUAAUAACAAUCAAACUUUUAUUGACUCUGAGAGGGAACAAGUGUAUGUGUGAGAGAGAGGAGGUAGGUACAGUAAAAGCAGAUCUGCUCCAGGUGGGACGCAGUCAGUCGGCGUUAUUUUUAAGAGAGCAAUGGGAGAGACUGAAAGAGCAAGGAAUAGAAUGAGAGAGAGGAGGGAGGUGAAGAUGAAUGUAGUUAAUUAAGAUGAGCAGGCAGUGAAGACAGUGCAGAAUUACACAAACACUAAUUAGAGUCUUCGUUAGGGGGCACAAAAUGAGAGCAGCGCAUCCAUCAUCUCCCCUCUCCUCUCUCUUUCCUCCCUCAUUCCAGCCGUUCUCUCUACUGUCUUUCCCUCUGCUCCUUUUAUUCUAUUUCUUCUUUUCCAUUUUAACAUAUUGGUGUCUGAGUUUGUGCUUUCUGUCUGUGGCGGUGCAGUGAGAUCAUGACAGUACCUCAGUCACACGGGCCCCUUCCCCCUUCAUCAUCCUUAUUUUAACCUCUCCUCUCUUUGACCCCUCCCUCUCUCUUUUAUUAGACAUGAAAUUCAGCGUCAGCACAAUUUUUAUUGUUUCAUUCAUUCUCUUUAGCUUGUCAAUGUACCAUGUCUCUCUUUCUGCUCUCCUUCGCUCCAUUUAACCUCCAUUUAUCUAUCUGUCAAACCAUCUAUCUAUACAGAAUUUUUUUUUUAGAAAAACUAUAACCAAAACCAAUAAUCUGGUUUAUUUACAAUUCCAAAUAACAAUUUUUACUCUAUCUAUCUAUCUAUCUAUCUAUCUAUCUAUCUAUCUAUCUAUCUAUCUAUCUAUCUAUCUAUCUAUCUAUCUAUCUAUCUAUCUAUCCAUCCAUCCAUCCAUCCAUCCAUCCAUCCAUCCAUCCAUCCAUCCAUCCAUCCAUAGAAUAGAGUUGAAAUGACUCUGUAAUUCUGUAUACUGUAUCUCUGUAAUAUUGUAUUUAUCUAAUAUAAAAUGAAAUAAAAAUAGCUUAUACAUUAAAAAGAAAUUAACAGUAAGUGCAUUUACUGGAAAACAAACUUCUAAUUUAUUUCUGUGUUUAAAUUACAAUUUCAGUUUCAAAUUUGAAUGACAGCAUUUGACCAUCAAUUUA